rnacentral:rRNA from 1 species
GGAUAACAUUCUGAAAAGAAUGCUAAUACCGCAUGACAUAUCGGAACCACAUGGUUCUGAUAUCAAAGAUUUUAUCGCUUGAAGAUGGACUCGCGUCCGAUUAGUUAGUUGGUGAGGUAACGGCUCACCAAGACCGCGAUCGGUAGCCGGACUGAGAGGUUGAACGGCCACAUUGGGACUGAGACACGGCCCAGACUCCUACGGGAGGCAGCAGUGGGGGAUAUUGCGCAAUGGGGGCAACCCUGACGCAGCAACGCCGCGUGAAGGAUGAAGGUUUUCGGAUUGUAAACUUCUUUUAUUAAGGACGAAAAAUGACGGUACUUAAUGAAUAAGCUCCGGCUAACUACGUGCCAGCAGCCGCGGUAAUACGUAGGGAGCAAGCGUUGUCCGGAUUUACUGGGUGUAAAGGGUGCGUAGGCGGCUUUGCAAGUCAGAUGUGAAAUCUAUGGGCUCAACCCAUAAACUGCAUUUGAAACUGUAGAGCUUGAGUGAAGUAGAGGCAGGCGGAAUUCCCCGUGUAGCGGUGAAAUGCGUAGAGAUGGGGAGGAACACCAGUGGCGAAGGCGGCCUGCUGGGCUUUAACUGAUGCUGAGGCACGAAAGCGUGGGUAGCAAACAGGAUUAGAUACCCUGGUAGUCCACGCUGUAAACGAUGAUUACUAGGUGUGGGGGGUCUGACCCCUUCCGUGCCGGAG